CAAUGGUAAAUAAUCAUCAGACAUAUCUAUCAGACUAAUCUAACAAAACAAGGAAGAAACUAAUUUAAUAAAAUCUUCCAUCUUCAAUCCUUAGUUUCUUCUUACCCCUGACUCGUUUAAUCUGCUUAUCUGAAAAAAUAAAAAGGAGUGGGAUGAGACUUAAAGCCUCAGUGAGUCCCACCUAUCUUAGGGUGAUACUAAUAUCCUUUGUCUUGACAGUUGAUUAAUCACAUAAACAUAUACAUAUUCAUUUCACGAUUAUUUUCGGUAUAAUGCAAAUAAAGUGUGACACAAAAUUAUUUGUCUAAGUUGAUUUUACGGAAUAAUUCGAGGUGAGUAGUCUCGAACCAUUCCCUUACAUACCCGGCUAAAUUCCCUAUCAUAUUAGGGCUAAAGCGUACGGUCAUACCUCAUCUUAUCGUCGUGUGAAAUUCUAUAUAGAAUUUCAAUCCAGCUCCAACUCCUACAUAAGGAAGCCUUUCUGGUGCCUUAUAAACCACAACUUAACAUAUUAUUCAUCAUAGACAUUUAGCAUUAGAAAUCUAACACUUGUGGCCCAAAGUCCACUACAUUUCAAGAUCAACUGUGAAUAUUCUUACCUGUCCUGAAUUAACUUACAAUGCAUCUAGUUCAUAGUUUUCUGUUUGUUUUCCCUACCCAACCUAUGCAAUUUAUUAAGCUAACUACUAUAUUUUUCAUUCCUAUAUGAUCUUAUUCCAUUAGGGACAUUACGGUGUCCCAAAAGCGUCCGAAAAUGCAAAACAGUGCAAACAGGGCUGCUGGAUGUAGCUCCAGGCGCAGGAACAGUCUGGGAAACACUGUUAUUUGCCCUUCCAGCGCAGUGGUCCGCGCCCCAGCGCAAAGGGCUGAAUGCUCAGGUGGCCAGUUUCCUGCAAAAAAAUUCAGUUUGUACCAUUAUCCUCACAGUCCUAGCCUUACUCUAGAUGCAUUUUAGUGACAAUUUAGGCCAACAGUUAGUAGCACAACAAGGGCAAGGGAAGUCACCAAGAUUCAUAAACAACAUGCAUUAAAUCUAUACAAUUUGAGAGAACUAAUCUAAAGGGGCAAUCUCAUCAAAGUACAAUUUCUCAUGAAAUAGUUUCUAGUUCUAACUACCUGUAAACCCAAUUCUCCAUGAGAAUAGUGGGGAGACUAUUUUGGUAAGGAUUUCUAUCUAUGGAACUCACCUCUGUAAUUGUAGCUCUCUCAACACAUGAUUAUUACAACCACAACAUAGUCUACAUCAAAAGCUUGUUCUCCAAUCUAGUCUAGUACAACUAUAAAAAAUACGAAAUACUAAUUUUAUUUUCGAAUAUAAAAAAUUAUCGCCUUAUAUCUUUGCCCUGUAUUAUCUUGUUCUGUACUGUUCUGUCAAAUCCUUACUGUUUUACGAAUCAAACGCACCACAUUGAUUUUUAAAAAUAAUCAUUAUCAUUAGGAUUUGAGCAACUUCAUAUUAAAACAUGAUUAUUCAAUUUAAAACACUAUGCAACACAUAUACUUCAUCGAAAUUUGACACUUUGAAAAACAAAAACAAAAAACUCUACAACCUAGAGAAACUCAAUUCGAGACUCGACAUCAAGAAAAAAAAAAUGCAACAACC
rnacentral:lncRNA from 1 species